GACGAACGCUGGCGGCGGGCUUAACACAUGCAAGUCGAACGGGAAGGCCCUGCUUUUGUGGGGUGGUCGAGUGGCGAACGGGUGAGUAACACGUGAGUAACCUGCCCUUGACUUUGGGAUAACGUCAGGAAACUGGGGCUAAUACCGGAUAGGAGCUCCUGCUGCAUGGUGGGGGUUGGAUAGUUUCGGCGGUUGGGGAUGGAAUCGCGGCCUAUUAGCUUGUUGGGUGGGUAGUGGAGUAGCAAGGCCUGGAAGGGUAGCCGGCCUGCGAGGGUGACCGGACACACCGGGACUGAGAUACGACCCAGACUCGAACGGGAGGGAGCAGUGGGGAAUAGUGCACUAUGGGCGGAAGCCUGAUGCAGCAACGCCGCGUGCGGGGUGACGGGCUUCGGGUUGUAAUCCGCUUUCGCCUGUGACGAAGAGUGAGUGACGGUAAUGGGUAAAGAAGCACCGGCUAACUACGUG
rnacentral:rRNA from 1 species